rnacentral:tRNA from 1 species
GCCGAAAUAGCUCAGUUGGGAGAGCGUCAGACUGAAGAUCUGAAGGUCGUGUGUUCGAUCCACACUUUCGGCA